AACGAACGCUGGCGGCAUGCCUAACACAUGCAAGUCGAACGAGACCGUCGGGCCUAGUGGCGCACGUGUGCGUAACGAGUGGGAACUUACCCUUAGGUUAGGAAUCCCUCCCCGAAAGGGGUCCUAAUACCGGAUAAUCUCAUCGGACCAAAGAUUUAUCGCCUUGGGAUGGGCCUGGGUUGGAUUCGCUAGUUGGUAGGGUACACGCCGACCAAGGCGACGAUCCAGAGCUAGUCGGAGAGGAUGCUCAGCGGGACUGGGACUGCGACACGGCCCAGACGCGUGCGGGAGGCAGCAGAUGGUAAAAUAGGACAAGAGGCGAAAGCCAGAUCCGGCAAGUCCGCGUGAGUGAUGAAGGCCUUAUGGUCGGAAAGCUCUUGUACCCGGGAUGAUAAUGACGGUACCGGGAGAAUAGGCUCGGGCUAACUCCGU
rnacentral:rRNA from 1 species